rnacentral:rRNA from 1 species
CCUACGGGUGGCUGCAGUGGGGAAUAUUGCACAAUGGGGGAAACCCUGAUGCAGCGACGCCGCGUGAGUGAAGAAGUAUCUCGGUAUGUUAAGCUCUAUCAGUAGGGAAGAAAAUGACGGUACCUGUUUAAGAAGCACCGUCUAACUACGUUGCAGCACCCGUGGGAACACGCAGGGGGCCAGCGUUAUCCGGAUUUACCGGGGGUAAAGGGAGCGUAGACGGGAGCACAAGUCUGGAGUGAAAUGCCGGGGCUUAAACCCGGAACUGCUUUGGAAACUGUGCAGCUAGAGUGCAGGCGAGGUAGGUGGAAUGACUAGUGUAGCGGUGAAAUGCGUAGAUAUUAGGAAGAACACCGGUGGCGAAGGCAGCUUACUAGACUGUAACUGACGUUGAGGCUCGAAAGCGUGGGGAGCAAACAGGAUUAGAUACCCUUGUAGUC